AUGGCAUUCCCAACCCUACCAAUCACACUCACAUGCCUUACACUGUUGGUAUUCCUGUGGAUUGCCAUGGCAGCUGAUAACGACUCCAUGGACUCUGGCCUCGUCCUCCUAAAUUGUGGAGAAUCAAACCAAGACAAUGACAGUAGUGGCCGUAUGUGGGACGGGGACACCGGCUCCAAAUUCAUGACACCGGUUAAAGGGGUUGCAGCCAAUGCUUCAUACCAAGACCCUUCACUCCCCUCCAUGGUGCCUUAUAUGACUGCACGCAUCUUCACUUCAAGUUACACAUAUUCCACAUGCAUCAACAUAGCGUGGUCUGAUGAUUCCCCAUGA
rnacentral:rRNA from 1 species